CCAAAUUCGUGAAAAAUACUCAGAAGAUCACCACCUGAAGAAUAAGAUCGAGCUCCUUAGCACACCGAUGAUGUCCUCAAGGUUUAACACUUUCAAAAGAAUCUGGAACUGAAGCAAAGCCAGAUCGGUAUAGCAGCCUCAAUGACUGCAAAUUAGAGGAUUGUCCAUGUGUGAACGGAAUCUGCCAGUGUCAUUAAAUGAGGGUGGCAGAAGAAGCUUAUUCAAAGAUACCAGCUCAACUAAAUGACAAUGCCAGACUUCAAUGUUAUGGAGACUGUAAAUGCAAACAAACUGAAGUUCAAGUAUGAUGCAGCAUAAAUCGCACAUCAGUGCUGGCGUGACAUUGUUGGAAAAAUGCAUGGACAACCUAGAAACCCUUCAAAGCCCGAAGAUGAAGCCGCUUCUGCUGCCAAAACCGCUCAAUAACGCACUCUUCAAUCCCAAUUUAUCAACUAUCAUCACAAUCUAAAUUACGCCAAAGAAGCUGUAGAAAUCAGCGCAAAGCUUCUUGAGAUUAAUCCAGAAUUCUCCACUGCCUGGAACUAUUGGAAACUUGCUGUUGAGCAUUUUCUGAUCCUGUCUCUAUUUUGAAUGAGGAACUCCGCGUUAAAGAAGAAAAUAUCGAGUGGACUGAGACGAUGUCUCAGAGCUUUAAGUUGAUGGACAACGAGGUAGGAGAGAGAUCAAAGAACAACGCCGGCCCUACGACGUCAAUGAGCUGUCGUGAGUAUCAAACACCUCAGUGCGACGCCGUGGGAUCUACCACCGUUGUCUCUGCUGUAACCCCGGAGAAAAUCGUCGUAUCUAAUUGCGGCGAUUCACGCAAUGUCCUUUGCCGUAAAGGCGUCGCAAUUCCUCUAUCUUCCGAUCAUAAGGUCAAAGUUGAAGGAUGAUUCUGUUAUAUUUUUUUGAGAGAAUAUCAUGUGAGGAAUCGGAAAAAGUUGAGGCGAUUAGCUUCGACAAGAGCAGUGAUACGACACCCUGUCAACUCAUCGCUCGAUGCUUAUGGUUUUUGUUGUUGCUCAAUACCGUGAGACAGCAGCAGAACACUGCAGCAAUAGAGUGAAUCAAAUUCAUAGGAUUCAGUCAAGAGAAACCAAGGACAGGUUAGGAAAGUAGCAGUUGCUGUGUUCUGCUGCAGUGUUCUGCUGAUGUCUUAGCAUAAAGGCAUAUCCAAUGC